AUUGAACGCUGGCGGCAGGCCUAACACAUGCAAGUCGAGCGGCAGCGGGAAAGUAGCUUGCUACUUUUGCCGGCGAGCGGCGGACGGGUGAGUAAUGCCUGGGAAAUUGCCCAGUCGAGGGGGAUAACAGUUGGAAACGACUGCUAAUACCGCAUACGCCCUACGGGGGAAAGCAGGGGACCUUCGGGCCUUGCGCGAUUAGAUAUGCCCAGGUGGGAUUAGCUAGUUGGUGAGGUAAUGGCUCACCAAGGCGACGAUCCCUAGCUGGUCUGAGAGGAUGAUCAGCCACACUGGAACUGAGACACGGUCCAGACUCCUACGGGAGGCAGCAGUGGGGAAUAUUGCACAAUGGGGGAAACCCUGAUGCAGCCAUGCCGCGUGUGUGAAGAAGGCCUUCGGGUUGUAAAGCACUUUCAGCGAGGAGGAAAGGUUGAUGCCUAAUACGUAUCAACUGUGACGUUACUCGCAGAAGAAGCACCGGCUAACUUCGUGCCAGCAGCCGCAGUAAGAA
rnacentral:rRNA from 1 species